ensembl:lncRNA
GUCAGUUGCUGCCUGGAGUCCCUUUUCUUUCCUCUAUUGUUCUCUUAAUUGUUACUUCAAAACAAUUAGCUGGGCAUUCAUAUGCAAAUGAAUGCAAAUGUACAGGGGAUUGGGUGUGAGAGAAUACCACCACUCGUUAAUUUCCACUUCAAGGUCUGCUGGUAGAAACAACAAAAUUGCUUAACAAUGUAUUUUUCCUGGGCCAUAAAGGGUGAACUCGCGACGAUUCCAGCCAUCCUGCUGGCUCGGCAAUUGUUCAGAUUCAGCCGGUUUUUGGCAAAACUCCGAUAAUCCACAGUACUAUAGCUUUCAUGUGCUGGGGCACCAUGCCAGUGUUGCAACUGCUGCAGAAGUGACCCUAUUGCUGAGAAAGGAAAAGAGGUUUUCUGUGAAAAAAAAUGAUUCAGUCCAUGUGAUGGCAAACAAAUCAUCCUUGGUUUUGAGGAGGACUGCUGCAACAGAGAUAAUAGGAUUUCCCAUGAGUGGAAGCCUUCCCUGUUGGGGUACCAACAGAAAAACAAGUGGAGAUGUAGUCCUGCUACCCACAGGCAACCAAUGGAAAACUACAGAAGGAUCUCAGUUAGAUCUGAUCCUACAGAAGGAUCUGAGUUAUAAACUCAGUCUUCCUAGUCAAAAGAUUUUGAACCCAAGCAAGUAUGGCAAGAUCUAUUUAGCUGGAAUGAGUAAAAGGAACUGGAAUAACUUAAAAAAAAAAAAAAAACAACAGUCUCUCUCCUUACGGAAAAACUUGGUCUCUUUAUGCCUGGUUAAUUAAUAUCCUCACAAGAAUGAAAAGACCUUCCUACACUGACAUUCCAAAACAAGAGUUGAAAAGAGAAGCCUUGCCAACAGAGAACAUCAGCACUUUUUAAUUAUGCUCUUUGUGGUAAAAGGUGGGCCGGUGAGAUGACCUACAGGAGGAAGUCAGCACUUUUUGAUUUCCAUGGACAUAAAUAGGAGCCAUUACUUUCAGAGUGACGUAUGUAUCACUGGAAAUACCUAGAGGAGACACCAAGCAAAAUGGAAAGUCUAUGAGUAAUGUUUCAGAGAGGAAGAAAUGCAGUGCCCCAUUUUGGGACGUCCAUUUUGACUCAUAGCAUUUGCACACCGAACAGUUUCCUUCAAGAAAUAAACUUUAUCCAAGGAGCAGCUAGAUGCCUGUACCUGUUCCAAUUGCACCACUCUACUUGUUUCUCUUCAUGCAGCCAGGAGACUACCAAAAUCUCUGAUCUUCUGGUUCCAGUGAUUUCUUAGGAAUCACCCUCAGAAAACCAUGGAUGCCACAAUGCUAUGUGCUGAGAUUCCCUGAACAGUAUGGAUGCAAGAGGAAGGCUUCAUCUGAGUGAUUAUAAGCAAAAGGAAUUAAUAUAUUUUACAUUCUGAAUUAGAAAAGCAAUUGGGAAGGCCCUCUAAUUUGAACACAGUUGGCAAUGGGUAUUAGCACAUAUAAUAUCAAUAAUAAUUGUACCACAUUUUUGGGGAGAUUCUGCAUGUCUACUUUUGAAACAGUUCAGGAAGAUGCAUUCCACAAAUACCACUGGAACUCUGCCACUUACCUUCUGCAUGCUAUUUUGGAUUUAUUUUUUCUGUGUAUUACUCUCCAAACAUACAUCUGAGACCAUUAAAUAAAGCAGGAAUGCAUGGUAUUGAUAAAACUUUAAAAUAAUAGAAUGACUUCUUACAGUAUACAGAGAUAAUUUCUACAAUCCUUGUUCUCAG